AGGAUAGAGGCCUACCAUGGUUUUAACGGGUAACGGGGAAUUAGGGUUCGAUUCCGGAGAGGGAGCCUGAGAAACGGCUACCACAUCCAAGGAAGGCAGCAGGCGCGCAAAUUACCCAAUCCCGACACGGGGAGGUAGUGACAAUAAAUAACAAUACAGGGCUUUCGAGUCUUGUAAUUGGAAUGAGUACAAUUUAAAUCCCUUAACGAGGAACAAUUGGAGGGCAAGUCUGGUGCCAGCAGCCGCGGUAAUUCCAGCUCCAAUAGCGUAUAUUAAAGUUGUUGCAGUUAAAAAGCUCGUAGUUGAAUUUUGGACUCGGUUGGAUGGUCUGCCUUUGGGUAUGUACUGGUCUCACUGAUUCCUCCUUCCUUAUGAACCGUAAUGCCAUUAAUUUGGUGUUGCGGGGAAUUUGGACUGUUACUUUGAAAAAAUUAGAGUGUUUAAAGCAAGCUAACGCUUGAAUACAUUAGCAUGGAAUAAUGAAAUAGGACGUUCGAUCUUAUUUUGUUGGUUUCUAGGAUUGACGUAAUGAUUAAUAGGGAUAGUUGGGGGCAUUAGUAUUCAAUUGUCAGAGGUGAAAUUCUUGGAUUUAUUGAAGACUAACUACUGCGAAAGCAUUUGCCAAGGAUGUUUUCAUUAAUCAAGAACGAAAGUUAGGGGAUCGAAGACGAUCAGAUACCGUCGUAGUCUUAACCAUAAACUAUGCCGACUA
rnacentral:rRNA from 1 species